UACGGAGGGGGCGAGCGUUAUUCGGAAUCAUUGGGCGUAAAGGGCGCGUAGGCGGCCUAGCAAGUCAGGGGUGAAAUCCCUCGGCUCAACCGAGGAACUGCCUCUGAAACUGCUUGGCUAGAGACCGGGAGAGGGUAGUGGAAUUCCCAGUGUAGCGGUGAAAUGCGUAGAUAUUGGGAGGAACACCAGUGGCGAAGGCGGCUACCUGGACCGGUUCUGACGCUGAGGCGCGAAAGUGUGGGGAGCAAACAGG
rnacentral:rRNA from 1 species